UAGGGAAUCUUCGGCAAUGGGGGCAACCCUGACCGAGCAACGCCGCGUGAGUGAAGAAGGUUUUCGGAUCGUAAAGCUCUGUUGUAAGAGAAGAACGUGUGUGAGAGUGGAAAGUUCACACAGUGACGGUAACUUACCAGAAAGGGACGGCUAACUACGUGCCAGCAGCCGCGGUAAUACGCAGGUCCCGAGCGUUGUCCGGAUUUAUUGGGCGUAAAGCGAGCGCAGGCGGUUUAAUAAGUCUGAAGUUAAAGGCAGUGGCUUAACCAUUGUUCGCUUUGGAAACUGUUAAGCUUGAGUGCAGAAGGGGAGAGUGGAAUUCCAUGUGUAGCGGUGAAAUGCGUGGAUAUAUGGAGGAACACCGGUGGCGAGAGCGGCUCUCUGGUCUGUAACUGACGCUGAGGCUCGAAAGCGUGGGGAGCAAACAGA
rnacentral:rRNA from 1 species